rnacentral:pre_miRNA from 1 species
CCCAAGAGAAAAUGGUAGCUGGUCCCAGCUGGUUUAUGGUUAAAUUCCCAGCUAGGAAUUUAGCCAUAAACCAGCUGGGACCAGUUAACAUUUUCUCCUGG